rnacentral:rRNA from 1 species
UACGUGAGGUGCAAGCGUUAUCCGGAUUUACUGGGCGUAAAGCGUAUCGCAGGUGGGAGUGUGCGUGGCGGGGGCAAUCCGGCAGCUUAACUGUCGAACCGCUCGUCAUACGGCACUUCUUGAGUUUAUUCGAGGGAGCUGGAAUUCUUCAUGGAGGGGUGAAAUCCGUAGAUAUGAAGAGGAACGCCAAGGGCGAAGGCAGGCUCCUAGGGUAACACUGACACUCAUGAACGACAGCUAGGGGAGCAAAAGGG